UGUGGGGUGGUUAUGGGGGGAUAUGGGGUCAUAUGGGAGGUUAUGGGGGAUAUGGGGUGGUUAUGGGGUCCCUAUGUGUCCCUAUGUGUCCCUAUGUGUCUCUAUGUGUCUCUAUGUGUCCCUAUGUGUCCCUAUGGGUCCCUAUGUGUCCCUAUGGGUCUCUAUGUGUCUCUAUGGGUCUCUAUGGGUCCCUAUGUGUCCCUAUGGGUCCCUAUGUGUCUCUAUGGGUCUCUAUGUGUCUCUAUGGGUCCCUAUGUGUCCCUAUGUGUCUCUAUGGGUCCCUAUGUGUCUCUAUGUGUCUCUAUGUGUCCCUAUGUGUCCCUAUGGGGCCGUAACCCCCGUUUCUCCCCGUUCCAGCCCCACUGAAUCCCGUCUCACGGUGUCCGACAACUCGCUGCUCUGGAGCGCCCCCGUGCGGUACCGGGUGGGAGCCGCGGUCACGUGGCUGGAGGACUCCACCCCAUAUCUCAGCUUCACCCCCGGCCAGACCCACAACUCAACACUGAGGCACCAUUACCAGGUUCAGAUUUCUUCUCCUCCGGCCUCCCCCCGGUGCCCGUACUCGCCAACUCAUACCUCAGCUCCUUCCUGCUGCUGCCCCACAAGCUGCCCCCACGGCAUGGAAUGGAGCCCCAGCGUCACCAUGGACAAUGGAGCCGAGUGCCAAGAGCUGCGGGGACAGAAGGAUGUGGGGCCGCUAUGGGGCCUGGAGAAGGGCUGCAUCCCCCCCCACCCCCCCCUGUUGUUCCGCUGCCCCAUGGGAUCCCACUUGGGGGGCAGAGUGACGCUGAGCGCCAACAUCACACCCCCAACACAAGGACAGCCCCCGUUCCGAUCCCAUUUAUGCUCCCGUUUGUGGUUCCGGUUCGGUUCGGGGCUGUUCCAGCAUCACCCACAAGGGGGCGACAACGGGAUGCAGGGCACGACGGAGGUGGAGCUGCUGCCCCCCCCCCCCCCCAUUGCUCUUAAUGUACGUGGGGGGGCUGCGGCGGGGCGGGUGAUGCUGCUGCCCUAUGGGCGUCGCUGGGCGUGGCGCGAAGGUAAAUUUGCAUAAUUUGCAUAUUAAUGAGCUAAGGGGAUGGGGUGGGGGGUCACUAAUUAGGGUAAGGUUAAUUAGUCUGGAGGGGUAAAUUAAUUAAGGGGGUUAAUUAGAGCUUGUUAAUGGGCCGGGGGGGGGUGAUGCUGCUGCUCCUAUUGGGCGUCCUCCUGUCCAAGGUAAUUUGCAUAAUUGCAUAUUAAUGAGCUAAGGGGAUGGGGAUGGGGUUAAUUAACCAGGGGGGUUAUUAAAUGGGGAGUAAUUAAUUAAGGGUUUAAUUAGAGGAGGUCAGUUAAUUGGGAGGAUGGGCGAAGGGGCUGGGAUAGGGGGAUCACUCUAAUUAUCAGGGGAUAAUUAGGCAUAUUAAUUUGCUUAAUUAGCAUACUAAUGAGCUUACACAGGGGAUGGGGGGGCUUAAUUAAUAGGGGGGUUAAUAGUGGGGUGUCGCUUCGACUGGUAAUGUGUGAAUGUAAGGGAGUUAGAUUAGGAGCUUGUUAAUGGGCGGGGUGGGGUGAUGCUGCUGCUCCUAUUGGGCGUCCUCCUGUCCAAGGUAAUUUGCAUAAUUUGCAUAUUAAUGAGCUAAGGGGAUGGGGGAGGGGGUUAAUUAACAGGGGGGUGAUGUGGGUGCUGUGGGCGGAGCCGCGGUAAAUUAAUUAAGGGUGCGUAAUUACAGGAAGCUCCUCGUCAAUGGGGGGGACUGGUGAAAGGUGGGGCUAAUAGCGGGUCAUUAAUUGGGGGGAUAAUUAGCAUGUUAAUUAGCUUAAUUAGCAUAUUAAUGAGUUAAGGGGAUGGGGGAGGAGUGUCACUUUAAGGGGGGUUAAUUAAUGGGGGGGUAAUUAAUUAAGGGGGUUAAUUAGGAGCUCGUUAAUGGGGAGGAUGGUGAAGGGAGGCUGAUAGGGGGUCAUUAAUUAGGGGGAAUAAUUAGCAUGUUAAUUAGGUUAAUUUGCAUAUUAAUGAGCUAAGGGUAUGGGGAGAGUGUUAAUUAACGGGGGGGUAAUUAGUGGGGGGGUAAUUAAUU
rnacentral:lncRNA from 1 species